UCUGGUGGCGAUAGCGAAGAGGUCACACCCGUUCCCAUGCCGAACACGGAAGUUAAGCUCUUCAGCGCCGAUGGUAGUUGGGGGUCUCCCCCUGUGAGAGUAGGACGUUGCCGGGU
rnacentral:rRNA from 1 species